GUGCUUGUUUUAGUAGUACAUUUACUAAAAUUGAAAUGAUACAGAGAAGAAUAACAAGAAUGACACUUAAAUUUAUGAAGCAUUCUACAUCUUG
ensembl:snRNA U6 U6 spliceosomal RNA